UACGUAGGGGGCGAGCGUUGUCCGGAAUUACUGGGCGUAAAGAGCACGUAGGCGGUUCGUUAAGUCGGCUGUGAAAUUCCUCGGCCCAACCGAGGGGGGUCAGCCGAUACUGGCGGGCUGGAGGGAGGCAGGGGGAAGCGGAAUUCCCGGAGUAGUGGUGAAAUGCGUAGAUACCGGGAGGAACACCAGUGGCGAAGGCGGCUUCCUGGGCUUUUCCUGACGCUGAGGUGCGAAGGCGUGGGGAG
rnacentral:rRNA from 1 species